rnacentral:misc_RNA from 1 species
GAUGAAGAACGCAGUGAAAUGCGAUAAGUAAUGUGAAUUGCAGAAUUCAGUGAAUCAUCGAAUCUUUGAACGCACAUUGCGCCCGCCAGUAUUCUGGCGGGCAUGCCUGUUCGAGCGUCAUUACAACCCUCAGGCCCCCGGGCCUGGCGUUGGGGAUCGGCGGAGCCCCCCGUGGGCACACGCCGUCCCCCAAAUGCAGUGGCGGUCCCGCCGCAGCUUCCAUCGCGUAGUAGCUAACACCUCGCGACUGGAGAGCGGCGCGGCCACGCCGUAAAACACCCAACUCUUCUGAAGUUGACCUCGAAUCAGGUAGGAAUACCCGCUGAACUUAAGCAUAUCAAAAGCGGAGGA